rnacentral:rRNA from 1 species
GACGAACGCUGGCGGCGUGCCUAAUACAUGCAAGUCGAGCGGACUUAAAAAGCUUGCUUUUUAAGUUAGCGGCGGACGGGUGAGUAACACGUGGGCAACCUGCCUGUAAGACUGGGAUAACUUCGGGAAACCGGAGCUAAUACCGGAUAAUCCUUUUCUACUCAUGUAGAAAAGCUGAAAGACGGUUUACGCUGUCACUUACAGAUGGGCCCGCGGCGCAUUAGCUAGUUGGUGAGGUAACGGCUCACUAAGGCGACGAUGCGUAGCCGACCUGAGAGGGUGAUCGGCCACACUGGGACUGAGACACGGCCCAGACUCCUACGGGAGGCAGCAGUAGGGAAUCUUCCGCAAUGGACGAAAGUCUGACGGAGCAACGCCGCGUGAGUGAUGAAGGUUUUCGGAUCGUAAAACUCUGUUGUUAGGGAAGAACAAGUACGAGAGUAACUGCUCGUACCUUGACGGUACCUAACCAGAAAGCCACGGCUAACUACGUG